UACGUAGGGGGCAAGCGUUGUCCGGAUUUACUGGGCGUAAAGCGCGUGUAGGCGGCCACGCAGGUCCGUUGUGAAAACUGAAGGCUUAACCUUCAGACGUCGACGGAAACCGUGUGGCUAGAGUCCGGAAGAGGAGAGUGGAAUUCCUGGUGUAGCGGUGAAAUGCGCAGAUAUCAGGAAGAACACCAAUGGCGAAGGCAGCUCUCUGGGACGGUACUGACGCUGAGACGCGAAAGCGUGGGGAGCGAACAGG
rnacentral:rRNA from 1 species